AUUUUGCAAAAUAAUCCUUUAGGCGUUAAUCUAAGUGAAUUACUAAUAGCAAGAGGAAAUGGCAUUGGUUGGGUGAGGAACAACCUUUGUAAUUGUAGAAUUAUGAAAAUGACUGAUUGUAUUUUUGACUAUUACAGGUAUUUUUGUGUUUUAGCUCAAAGGAGAAAUGUUUUAAUUGAAUUCUCACAUGCUGAAUGGGAGGCUGCUUCAUGAUUU